AUUGAACGCUGGCGGCAGGCUUAACACAUGCAAGUCGAGCGAGCGGCGGAAGGGAGAGCAAUGACUGGGAAACUGACUGAUGGAGGGGGAUAACUAACGGAAACGGUAGCUAAUAACGCAUACAAUCAGAUGGGCCCAGAUGGGAAUAGCUAGUAGGUGGGGUAAAGGCUCACCUAGGCGACGAUCCCUAGCUGGUCUGAGAGGAUGACCAGCCACACUGGAACUGAGACACGGUCCAGACUCCUACGGGAGGCAGCAGUGGGGAAUAUUGCACAAUGGGCGCAAGCCUGAUGCAGCCAUGCCGCGUGUGUGAAGAAGGCCUUCGGGUUGUAAAGCACUUUCAGCGAGGAGGCGUUACUCGCAGAAGAAGCACCGGCUAACUCCGUGCCAGCAGCCGCGGUAAUUC
rnacentral:rRNA from 1 species